rnacentral:tRNA from 1 species
AGCUUUAUAGUAAAAAAAAUACAUUAGACUGCAAUUCUAAAAAUGCAUUAUUGCUAGAGCUU